GUUAAAAGCUCAUGCACAGAAUGGAUUAAACUCUUAACUCAAGGUAUCACUGUAUUGUAUUUGAGGAUAUCAUGCUAUCCCACCACCUCUGACAUCACAAGAGAGCAUUCUUGGAUUUCAGGCUUUGGUUCUAGAAUCUCAGGGCUUGGGAUCAUCCUAACUGAGCAGCCCUCAGCAUCUCUGAGGCUGAGAUAAAGCAACUUUGCCCAUUUGUCAGCACAUUUCAGGAACGAGGAAUCUACAGCCCCUCCAGUGUUGUUGGACUACAAACCCCAUCACCAUCUGCCAUACUGGCUCCAGCUGUUGGAACUUCAGAACACAAAAGUGGCAAACUGGAAGCCAGGUCAUCACUUUUGAUAAUGAUUCCUAUCACACAUUGUUGCACACCACUGCCAGUCUGCCACUUUCCCAUAACAAACCCAUCCCCUGCAUUUGAUGAGAAAACUUGUUAAUUGCCCCAUAUCACUCCAUGAUCCUAGGAGUUGCGCCUGGUGAUAUGGCUGAUCGGUUCUGUCCCCUCUCAGUAAUUAAAGAUUGGAAGUUUUUAAAAGUU